ACACAGAGCCAGAAACUGCCAACCCUGCAGGGCGAAAAAACACACACAGAGGCCUUACACAUUCAGCAGGGUCACAUGACUGAGUCGUGGGAUUUGUUAGUGAAAUAAGAACAAAACAUCCGAACAAAACUUUGAAUGGCUUGUGAUGGCAGAGUGGUGAGAGGAGAAGAGAGAGCCUCCUUCCUGAAACACAGCGUGGGAUUUCUCCAGAUCUGAGAAUCUGAGGAGCAAGCAGAGAAAAUUGCAACAUUUGUUACAUUUUCAGUUGGUGAUGUUUGUCUUCACAUUGCACUGUGUGAAAUAAACGAAAGCUUUUAAAAAACCUGCUCCCCUCCUCACCUGUGGUGGCGCUGCACCAAGAACUACAGAAGGAAAUGACAUAAAUGCAUCUGACGAAGACACUGAGCUCAACUUCCUCCUUCCCAAAAUGU